GUUCCUUAUGAAGAUUGUUAGUCAUUUGGUCAAGAAAUUGAUCUUGCCUGGACUGCUUGAUGUUAUGCUGUAUAGACUGGACAUAUAGGACACACAGAAAAAUGACUUCUGAACUUAUCUAAAGCACAGACAAGGGCAAGGUGGGAAUUCCAAGCAUACAGAGGAGCAGAAAAUAGGUGGAGUCAGAGAGAUACCCCUAGUGGCUGAAGGAGACAGACACAUGGGAACCUUACCAGUAAACCAAGAGCAUCAAGGUCUAGACAGAUGGAAUGAACAAGCAACCUCCACCUACAAGGAUAGGCUCACUUGCCUGUGAAAGUCAGAAGUUACAUUUAAUUCUGAGCAUGUGCUCCUCAGUGCAUUAGAAA